AGUGAACGCUGGCGGCAGGCCUAAUACAUGCAAGUCGAACGGAAGCACGGGAAGAGUGCGUCCUUACUGUUGGCGACGGGCGGACGGGUGAGGAAUAGAUCGCAAACUUCUAUGUCUUGGGGGACAACGGAGGGAAACAGAUGCUAAUACCGAAUACGAUCAACGGGAGAAAGCAGGAGUGCUACGCAGCUUUGCCGACAGAAUGAGACGAAGUCGGAUUAGCUAGUUGGCUGGGUAACGGCCCACCAAGGCGACGAUCCGUAGCAGGUCUGAGAGGAUGAUCCGCCACACUGGAACUGAGACACGGUCCAGACUCCUACGGGAGGCAGCAGUGGGGAAUCUUGCGCAAUGGGCGCAAGCCUGAUCCAGCCAUGCCGCGUGAGUGAUGAAGGUCUUCGGGUCGUAAAACUCUUUUGUUAGGAAAGAACAUAUGCGUAAUAAUCCCCCGAUGUUCUGACGGUACCCAAACAAAAAGCACCGGCUAACUUCGUG
rnacentral:rRNA from 1 species